AAACUAACCCGAAGGGGAAGAUGCUGUGAUCAUGCAGGUAUGUUCCCAGGAUAAGGCUGUCCAUUACACUCUGCACGUGCUGUCCCUUACGAUUUCCCCAAGUUGGGGGAAUUGCAUAAUUAGUGAUAGUGGGGAACUAUGUUCCCACUUUCCCCUU